rnacentral:rRNA from 1 species
AGCAGCCAUGGUAAUUCCAGCUCCAAUAGCGUAUAUUAAAGUUGUUGCAGUUAAAAAGCUCGUAAUUGAAUUUUGGGUUUGGCCAAUUGGUCUGUUCUUGUAGCGAGUACUGGUCGGUUAUGCCUCACCACUUGGGAAAGCAUAAUGUCCUUUAUUGGGUGUUGCGAAAUAUCCAAGACCUUUACCUUGAAAACAUUAAAGUGUUUAAAGCAGGCAUAUGCCGGAAUACAUUAGCAUGAAAUAAUAGAAUAGGAUAAUAAUUCUAUUUUGUUGGUUUCUAGGACCGUUGUAAUGAUUAAUAGGGAUAGUUGGGGGUAUUAGUAUUCAAUUGCCAGAGGUGAAAUUCUUGGAUUUAUUGAAGACUAACUACUGUGAAAGCAUUUGCCAAGGAUGUUUUCAUUAAUCAAGAAUGAAAGUUAGGGAAUCGAAGAUGAUCAGAUACCAUUGUAGUCUUAACCAUAAAUUAUGCCGACUA